GACAGAGGUGCCAAGCGUUAGGCGGAAUCACUGGGCUUAAAGCGUGUGUAGGCGGAAUGGUAAGUACCUUGUGAAAUCCCACGGCUCAACCGUGGAACUGCUUGGUAUACUGCUUUUCUUGAGCCACUUAGGGGCAACCGGAACAAAUGGUGGAGCGGUGAAAUGCGUAGAUAUCAUUUGGAACGCCAAUGGUGAAAACAGGUAGCUGGGGCUGUGCUGACGCUGAGACACGAAAGCCAGGGGAGCGAACGGG
rnacentral:rRNA from 1 species